rnacentral:lncRNA from 1 species
UAAAAGUGGCUUUUUUUCUUGUUUUAACAGGAGCACGAGAAAAUCAGCCAAAUCCGUGACAGGGAAUGCGAAAACUACAAGAUAGCAGUGCCCGAGAAAGAUUUCGCGCCACACUACAACGGGCUAUACGUCACAGAACACUGCGAUGAAGGCGCAGCAAAGCUCAGAGUUAAGGAAGAAGAGGAUGACAGGAGCGAAGACGAGAUACUAGACGAUGAAAUCCGAGGACUUAAGGCUAAAAUACAAAUGCUAGAAGAACGGCUUGAGGAGAUCGAAAAACCUCUUCGGAAGAUCAUUCAGCGACUUUCCAAAAACCAAUAGUGGUUUUGUUUGAUGAAUAUGUGUUUGAUGUUGUGGGAAUAAUGCUAAAAUUUUGAACAUCCUAUUCUUUGAAUAAUUUUGUGUCAACCAAGCGUAAAA